rnacentral:rRNA from 1 species
UGGGGAAUUUUGCGCAAUGGGGGCAACCCUGACGCAGCAACGCCGCGUGCGGGACGAAGGCCUUCGGGUCGUAAACCGCUUUCAGCAGGGAAGACAGCGACGGUACCUGCAGAAGAAGCCCCGGCUAACUACGUGCCAGCAGCCGCGGUAAUACGUAGGGGGCGAGCGUUGUCCGGAAUCAUUGGGCGUAAAGGGCGCGUAGGCGGCCCCUCAAGCGGGAUCUCUAAUCCGAGGGCUCAACCCCCGGCCGGAUCCCGAACUGGGGGGCUCGGGUGCGGUAGAGGAGGAUGGAAUUCCCGGUGUAGCGGUGGAAUGCGCAGAUAUCGGGAGGAACACCGAUGGCGAAGGCAGUCCUCUGGGCCGCCACCGACGCUGAGGCGCGAAAGCCGGGGGAGCGAACA